CAUCGACACGAGUACAGUGAUUUUCUAAUAAAACACAAAGACAGAGUCUCAUGCUACUGUCCUUGUAGAAGGUGCUCUCUUCAUGUUAAAUUCAAGCCAGCGAUCAUCAUUUCAGAGAAACUGGUGCUAAGCGCUAAGGCGGGUGUGAAAAAUAACCAUUGCCUUUGUUCCUCUUUGACGAAAAUUUCACACACAACAUGUCGAAAGACAACUUUGAAGCGAUAUAACAAUGUGGUCAAAUGGCGAGUAAAAGCGUCUAGUCGAAAAGAAAGAAAGUGGAAAGGAAAUGAUCGUGGCGAUCGAAAAUCGUAACGACGCCUCUGAUUGGCGAUGAUCGUGCCGCUCGAAUCGAACGAAAUAAAGGGAAACGAAAGGUGUAUCGGAUUCGAGAAUCCGCAGUCGUUCGUAGUUCGCCAGCGACGUUACGUAACGUGUUUCUCCUCGGGCGCAACCCGCCAGCGACAUAGACACGCUUAACAUUCGAGACGCGUAACAGGAAGCACGUAACACAAACUUGCGCCGAUACUCGUGAAUUUGAUCCAGUGAUCACCGUUUCGGGACGAAACAACGCUGGAGGCGAGGCAACCACCUGCCCCCGGAUGAGUCGUUUCCUUUUCACGACAGGGCUAUCUCGAGAAAAAGGAAAACCAUCGCCCAGCCUCGGUGAAUAGAGAAGAGCCCUGAUAAUAACGACGCAGCUGCUAAUAAAAAGUGAAAAUACACUGAAAAUACACAGGCUACCAGGAAAGUAACGUCGUUAUGCUCGAGACAGAGAGGACAAAGAGGUGGAACGACGAUGGGGUAGAAUGGCAGUUCUGGCCAGCAACAAAUUGUGUCCCUUUUCAUUCAGGGCGCGAAUAAGAAUCUCUGCUGAGAAACAGGCAACGCAAGAAGACGUAGAAGAAGUUGGAAGAGGAAUUUUUGCGUUGAAAAGGUUUCACGAGUAACAGAAGCAGAACUUCAAGAUGCUAUCAUUCGUAGAGGCUUUAAAUGCUGGCAAAUGUUUGAGGGUACACAAUACCGGAGACUGAUAAGGUAAUUGUACUUUAUGCAACCUCUCCGCUACAAAACACGCGUAACAAAAUGUACGACAAGGAGGAAGUUGAAAAUUGUUUGCUGUUUAAGGUAUUUAUAGUACUGCGACAGAUGUAACAUAAUAUUUAACUAUGUACAGAGAAGAAUAUAAUACUUUGUUGAAACUUCUUCCUUGUUAUGCUAUGAAAGCUGUUUUAUGAACGAAAUAUGUCAAAAGACAAUUGAAGGAAAAAAUAGCUACUGUAGAAUUACAGUGUAAGAGGAGAACAUUUUUCGUACAGAAAGAUAAUUGAAAAUAGGAAUAAUAUAAACUUUUUCUAUAUUAAGAGCAGACUAUACAUAUAUAUAAUGAUUUUUAAGAUAGAUAUUCAAUUUGGAUAACGCUCAAACUUGAUUAAAAUUAGUUUUUAAUUUACGAGGUUAAUAUCAUACAUGAAUUUUUGUACGUAAAUGUACAUAUACUUGUUUUAAAUGUUGUUAGUAUAUAUUUACAUAUUGUAAUAAAACUCAUUUUAAUAUAAUUUACUUAUUUAGGGACAACGAGUAUAUCAAGCCUGUGAUACAUUCGCAGCUUGUAAUUCCCGAACGACUAAUUUCCAAUUCUAUAAACAUAAAAUUAAAAUAGCCGAUGACAAAUGUUAUUCUAUAUGCGAGAAGGAUUUAGAAAAACGUAAAGUCAUUAAAUCUUGAAAUACGAACGCGACGAGAAACAACAGCGAAUAAAAUUUACAUUUGAUCAGGGAAUUAACUUUCCAAUUAAUUUUCCAGCCCCAAAAUAGCCUUCAAUCUACACACUAACGACUCUCACAUUAGUAUUAACACGCACACAGCCGAAUAUAAUGCCAUCGUAAACAAUAUUUUAAUCCUAGCUUAAUCCAACCUCUAUCGACUGCAAUACCGCGUUAGUAUCCAGAAAACGCAAUUACGCGAAACGAAUUAUGCUAGGAUAGAAAUGUGAAAACAAUUCGAGAAAAAGUUUCUAAAUUAGCAACUGUGGUGGAUUAUUAUACAUGUUGGUUGGGUGUGAUACGAGUAAUAAAAUUGUAAUAUUCAGUAUAUAUUAAAAUCACUUCAACACGUUGACUGACACGCGUGUUUUCAAUAAAAUAUCCUUCAGGCCACGUGUGCCGCAGUACCAAACGUUCUCUGCUGGGUAUUCCCGCCGAUAUGUUAGAUAAUUUAAAAUCUUUGCCCUAAUUCGUUACAAUGUCAAAAAGAAAAAUGGAAAACUUAUUCUUUAGUGAGUCAAAUAGCAGUGAAAAAGAAAGCUUUUACGAGGCUUACACAAAUUUGGAUAGUAACAAUGAGAAAGAAAUCAGAUUUCCUAGAAAUAAAAAUAUAAAUAGAAUUACAUCGUCUGAUUCUGAUUCGGAUAUUGAUAAGUGCAAUCAUAGUGAUACUGAAUGUAAUGAAGAUACUGUCGACAAGAUUUUACAAGAAUUGGUCACUGAGGGAGAAAGAAGAACUGACGAUACCGAGGAAAGUACAAUUCAAUUUGGUGAAUGGAAUGAAUUUAGUGGUCGGCAGAAGUCAUUUUCUUCUCCCGAGACAGACGGCUUCAUUAGGCAAUUACCUGGCGAUAUUAAUUCAUAUGAUGCGUUUAAGCUGUUCGUUGAUGACGAAAUAGUAAACUUAUUUGUAUCAGAAAAUUACAACAGGGAAGGAUACAAAUAUUAGAAUAUUUAAAGAAUUAUUAGCUGCAAAAUUAUUAGGAUUGUCUGAAAAUACAAAAAAUCCUUGUCUUCGAUGGAGUCAGCAUAAUAUCGCCGUCCGAAAAAAUGAUUCCGGAAGAAGCAUUAGACACGCAUGCAAACUAUGUUAUGCAAAUGAAAGACGUCGAAUGGACUGAACAAAGACACGAGAGAAUUUAAAGAAAACAACAACUUAUUGUCCAAAUUGUCCCGACCAACCUCAGCUAUGUAUAGAAUGCUUUAAAGUUUUACGUUCUAAAUAAUCUUUUUAAUAAACCAUUUUCGUAUUACUUUUAUAACAAUUCAAUAGUUUUAUUAUUUCCUCUGGAAUAUCUUUUCAAAUACCUACGACGAUCUUUCGCAAGUAGUCAAAUAAGCGUCACUCGAAUACGGGUGUCGUGGCAGUCAACAUGUUAA